rnacentral:rRNA from 1 species
AUUGAACGCUGGCGGCAUGCCUUACACAUGCAAGUCGAACGGCAGCACGGGGCAACCUGGUGGCGAGUGGCGAACGGGUGAGUAAUGCAUCGGAACGUACCUUUCAGUGGGGGAUAACGUAGCGAAAGUUACGCUAAUACCGCAUAUUCUGUGAGCAGGAAAGCAGGGGAUCGCAAGACCUUGCGCUGAUUGAGCGGCCGAUGUCAGAUUAGCUAGUUGGUGAGGUAAAGGCUCACCAGGGCGACGAUCUGUAGCGGGUCUGAGAGGAUGAUCCGCCACACUGGAGCUGAGACACGGUCCAGACUCCUACGGGAGGCAGAAGUGGGGAAUUUUGGACAAGGGGGGCAACCCGAAGCCAGACAUGCCGCGUGAGUGAAGAAGGCCUUCGGGUUGUAAAGCUCUUUCGGCCGGGAAGAAAUCGCACGGGCUAAUACCCUGUGUGGAUGACGGUACCGGAAUAAGAAGCACCGGCUAACUACGUGCCAGCAGCCGCCGUAACAC